rnacentral:rRNA from 1 species
UGGGGAAUAUUGCGCAAUGGGCGAAAGCCUGACGCAGCGACGCCGCGUGAGGGAUGACGGCCUUCGGGUUGUAAACCUCUUUCAGCAGGGACGAAGCGUAAGUGACGGUACCUGCAGAAGAAGCACCGGCCAACUACGUGCCAGCAGCCGCGGUAAGACGUAGGGUGCGAGCGUUGUCCGGAUUUAUUGGGCGUAAAGAGCUCGUAGGCGGCUCGUCGCGUCGACCGUGAAAACUUUGGGCUUAACCCGGAGCUUGCGGUCGAUACGGGCGGGCUAGAGUUCGGUAGGGGAGACUGGAAUUCCUGGUGUAGCGGUGAAAUGCGCAGAUAUCAGGAGGAACACCGGUGGCGAAGGCGGGUCUCUGGGCCGAUACUGACGCUGAGGAGCGAAAGCGUGGGGAGCGAAC